rnacentral:rRNA from 1 species
AUUGAACGCUGGCGGCAGGCCUAACACAUGCAAGUCGAACGAGUGGCGGACGGGUGAGUAAUGUCUGGGAAACUGCCUGAUGGAGGGGGAUAACUACUGGAAAAGGUAGCUAAUACCGCAUAGCAGCAGAUGUGCCCAGAUGGGAUUAGCUCGUUGGUGGGGUAACGGCUCACCAAGGCCACGAUCCCUAGCUGGUCUGAGAGGAUGACCCGCAAGCCGGGAACUGAGACACGGUCCAGACUCCUACGGGAGGCACCAGGGGGGAAUAUUGCACAAUGGGCGCAAGCCUGAUGCAGCCAUGCCGCGUGUAUGAAGAAGGCCUUCGGGUUGUAAAGUACUUUCAGCGGGGAGGCGUUACCCGCAGAAGAAGCACCGGCUAACUCCGUGCCAGCAGCCGCGGUAAUUC